CCUUUCUGUUUGUAUUCUCAUUCCAUUAAAUAAGAACUGCUUCGUUCACUUGUUUUCCCAGCAAGAUUUCUGCACUCACAUCUUGAAAUCCAAAUUCAAGAUUUUAAAGAAAUUUCUGAGCUCACUCACUAUUAUGGCUUGGUCUGCUGUGACAUCUGCAGUGAUAAAUAUUGGCAAGCUGCUAACUGAGGAAGCCAUAUACCUAUGGGGUGUGGAGGAGGAAGUUGAUCGUCUGCAAACAGAGCUCAAAUGGAUGCAAAGAUACUUAAUGGACGCAGAGACAAAACAAUCAAAGGAUGAGAUGAUUCGUCUUCGGGUUGCUGAAAUCAGAGAGCUUGCUUAUGAUGCUGAGGAUGUUGUCGAGGAAUUUGCUCUCAAGAUUGGAUCCAAAAACAAAGGAGGUCUUCGGAGUUGUAUUAAAAGAUCAGCCUGCUGUUUGAAAGAGGGAUGGGCACUCCACAAAACCAGGUCAAAAAUCGAGAAAAUCAUAGAAAGAAUCAACGACUUGGUCCGACGACUACAGGCCUACGGAGUUGAGGAAUCAAAGCCCAGAGAAGAAGAAUCAAGUUCUUCAACUGAAAGACGAGAAUCAAGGCGGCCUUAUCCACCUAUUAUGGAUGAUAAUAUUGUUGGACUAGUUGAUGAUACCGAGGGAUUGGUCAAAGUUCUUACGAACGAAAGUGGAUACAAGGUUGUUACAAUAUGGGGCAUGGGUGGUCUGGGAAAGACCACUCUCGCCACGAAAAUAUAUCACCAUCCUCAGAUUAGAAAUUAUUUCGAGCACUUAGCUUUUGUAUAUGUUUCUCAACCAUGCCAGAAAAUAAAUGUUUGGGAAGACAUUCUAUCUGGUUUCAAAACUUCAAAUGUCGAGGAUAGGAAGAAAAGAGACGAAGAAUUAGCAGAGGAUAGGAAGAAAAGAGAUGAAGAAUUAGCAGAGGGUAGGAAGAAAAGAGAUGAAGAAUUAGCAGAGGGUAGGAAGAAAAGAGAUGAAGAAUUAGCAGAGGAUAGGAAGAAAAGAGAUGAAGAAUUAGCAGAGGGUAGGAAGAAAAGAGAUGAAGAAUUAGCAGAGGCUAGGAAGAAAAGAGAUGAAGAAUUAGCAGAGGAUAGGAAGAAAAGAGAUGAAGAAUUAGCAGAGGGUAGGAAGAAAAGAGAUGAAGAAGAUCAAGACUUAAAAGAUGAGUUGAGUAAAACUUUGAAGGAUAAAAAGUGUCUGGUGAUACUUGAUGAUGUUUGGACCAGUGAAGCUUGGGAUAGUCUAAAACCUGCCUUUCCAGUUGAUAGCAAAAGCAAGAUAUUGCUCACCUCUAGAAACAGGGGGAUAGUUUCAGAUGCUGAGAUAAGAGAGUUGAAGUGCCUAGAAGAUGAAGAAAGUUGGGAAUUGCUUCAAAAGAUUGUAUUUCCUCAAACAGGAAAUAUAAUCGAUGUGAAAAUGAUAGAGUUGGGAAAGAACAUGGUUAAACAUUGUGCAGGGCUGCCAUUAGCCAUUGUUGUAUUGGGAGGAAUUUUGGCUACAAAGAAAAAUUCGUUAAUCGAAUGGCAAAAAAUAUCUGACAAUGUAAAAUCAUCCUUGAAGAGAGGCAAAAAUCAAGGACCAGAGGAUGUGUUAGCAUUAAGUUAUGAUGAUUUGCCUCCCUAUCUAAGACCAUGUUUCCUCUAUCUAAGCCAUUUUCCGGAGGAUUAUAUGAUAGAUGUGGAUAGAUUGAUUCAAUUAUGGGUUGCUGAAGGUAUUGUGUCAUCAAAGGAAGAAGAAAGAGAUGGUGGGGAAAUUGUGGAAGAUGUGGCGGAAUCUUAUUUAACGGAGCUUGUGGAAAGGUGUAUGAUUCAACUACGAGAAAGAAAUGAGGCAGCCUCAGAGAUCAGAGUGACCUCAAAGGUCAAGACGAUUCAGAUGCAUGAUCUGAUGAGAGAUCUUUGCUUAUCAAAGGCAAAACAAGAAAAUUUUGUCUUCAUUGUUGAUGGAUCGAAUGCAUCUUCAUUAUCUAUGAUUCGGAAGGUCCGUAGGGUUUCUGUGCAAGUGUCUUUUUUCAUACAAUGCAUUAAAAGUCCAAGUAUUCGGUCACUUUUGUUCUUCAAUCAGUUCUUUCCGGAGGAGGCAUUAGAAAAAUCUUUGCCCUUGGAAGUGUUGAACUACGUUAAAAAAUAUUAUGACGAUUGUUGUAAUCCACUAUUUUGGAUUCUUCUGAUUUUGGUAGGUUCUACAAGAUAUCUUAAAAUUCGGGGAUUUUGGAGAUACAUGUUCAACAACUUCAAAUUGCUAAGAGUCCUAAACUAUGACAAAAGAAGGUCAUAUUGUUUUUGGCUCGGGUGGGAUUUACCCAGUGAUAUAGGGAAUCUCAUCCAUUUAAGAUUCUUGAGUCUAAAGGAUCAUGAGUUCUUCUUGAGAAAGUUGCCAUCAUCUCUAGGCAACUUAAGGUGCUUGCAAACCUUGGAUUUAAGAGUUAAUUUUCCCGAAAUCCAUGUACCUAAUGUGAUAUGGAGGAUGGAGCAACUAAGACAUUUAUAUCUCCCUUCCGACUGUGAAAGCAGUACUAAGUUGAACUUGGGUACUUUGAGAAAACUCCUAACACUUGUGAACUUCAACACCAAGAAUUGUUAUCUGAAGGAUCUUAUCAACAUGACAAAUCUUAGAGAGUUGGAGAUAAAUUUGCCCUUCAAUAUUGAAAAUUUCAAAGUGUCGGGCGAGAAUCCACCCAUAAUCGGUAGUAAAUAUCUUCAUUCCUUGUUUAUUAUUGACAGGGCGGGCGAAUCAAUAGAUCCAACACAUUUGGCCCACCUCCUUUCAAAUUGUACAAGUAUUUGCAAGUUGAGUAUAGCAGCAGACAUAAGUAAGUUACCAGAGUCUCACUACUCUUCACAUCUCGCUUACAUAAGGUUGAGAUGGUGCAAGUUUGAGGAAGACCCAAUGCCAACACUAGAGAAGCUGCCUAACUUAAGGAUUCUUGAAUUCGAAUAUACUUUAGAAGGAAAGGAAAUGUUUUGCUCUGCUCAGGGUUUUCCUAAACUUGAGUCUCUAAUCUUUGACCAGCUCGGCAAAUUGGAGGACUGGAAGGUGGAUAAAGGAGCCAUGCCUUCUCUUCAGCGAUUGGAGAUCACGUAUUGCAAAAGACUGAAGAUGCUUCCAGAGGGAUUGAGGUUCAUUACAACCCUCAAAGAACUGAAGAUUGAAUCAAUGCCAAAGGCAUUCAAAGAUAAAUUGGAGGAAGGAGGAGAAGAUUUCUACAAAGUCCAACAUGUUCCUUCUAUCAUAUUCCAAAACUGUGGCUAAUAGAUUGAAUGAUAAUUGAGAGGUAAAGACGCCAUUUUUUCACCUGCUACUGCUAUUCACGGGAUCAAAGCUAGAUUUAAAACUCUUAUUAUAAGUGACGUGUGAAAGUGUGUUAUAUGGUGAGAUUUGGAAUUAUCUUCUCUCUUGUAUAUAUCUAUGGUUGUUGACAUCAGACUGGUUGACUGUUUGACAAUAAAACGGUUGCAAGAUAAGGUAUGGGAAGAAUGGGAGGUGUCUGGAUUAGCAAGAUAAGGAGACGUCACUGACCUUUGUUCCCACAUAGCUUUGGUUUGCGGCCACCAUUCCUAUAUUUAUUUGUUAGCUUUGCUUUCUCUUUCUUUUUUUUCCCUACUUAAGUCUGCUUGAGUCUUUUUCUUUUUUUAUAUGUACUUCAUGUAAUAGUAGAAGCCAAGGCAGGACCAUGCUUUUCUGUUGUAAAAUUCAUCACUUCGUUGUCUAUGUUCAUUUCUACUCUUCAGUUUACUUAAAUAUAAUUGUUUGAUAUAUAUUUGAAUA